ACGGGAGGCAGCAGUGGGGAAUAUUGCACAAUGGGCGCAAGCCUGAUGCAGCGAUGCCGCGUGAGGGAAGAAGGUUUUCGGAUUGUAAACCUCUGUCAACAGGGACGAAGAAGACGGUACCUGUGAAGGAAGCUCCGGCUAAUUACGUGCCAGCAGCCGCGGUAAUACGUAGGGAGCAAGCGUUAUCCGGAAUUACUGGGUGUAAAGGGAGCGUAGACGGCAAUGCAAGUCUGAAGUGAAAGCCCGUGGCUUAACUGCGGGACUGCUUUGGAAACUGCAUGGCUAGAGUGUCGGAGAGGUGAGUGGAAUUCCCAGUGUAGCGGUGAAAUGCGUAGAUAUUGGGAGGAACACCGGAGGCGAAGGCGGCUCACUGGACGAUUACUGACGUUGAGGCUCGAAAGCGUGGGGAGCAAACAGGAUUAGAUACCCUGGUA
rnacentral:rRNA from 1 species